rnacentral:lncRNA from 1 species
CAGGCGCCCGUGUCCGGUGCGGUCCCAUACGAGAUGGGUUCUCUGCCUUCGGUGCGUGUCGGCGCCUCUGCCAAGGCGGAGCGGACGGCGAAAGGUAGACCCAGCGCAUCUCCAGCUUCACGAGACUCACGCGGCCUUCCGUGGGCCGUAAUCGUCUGUCUCCCUCUGUGGCCGAAGUGACACACCGAAGCGAAAAGGCCGAAAGCCAUCGUGACGUCGAGGCACAAGCUCCACUGUCCUAACAGUAGAGGUCGCAUGGAGUUCGUGAGACGGGCAUUAGCUGCCGCUGGAGCUGUACCCAGCCCACCGUAUUUUCACAAAUUAGCCAGACAAUACGCCUUCUCUUCGCAUCACUACUGGUCCGGCUUCCUGUGGAGAUUUUCAGAUACAAGCAAACAAAACAUUGCAUAACUCUGUGUGCAGCCCUUACCCGGAUGUGUGCAGCUUUAGGGUGUGCUUGGUAUGUCUCCUGCCUCCUCUUGGUUUGUGGGAGUCUUUCCUCCUAACAUAGUUUCAUAUGGGAGUGCCACGAUUUGGUAUUUAUUUCCAACGGGUAAAGGUUAUCACACCCACCAAAAAAUCUGCAAGGCUUUAUCCUCAAAGCAGUCUGUCUCAUGCGGAGUUUUUACUAAUGUGUCUCGGUGCUGCUCUAAACAAGGUCUGUAGACUUUACACUAUGAAUAACUUGAGAUUUAUAAAAAUGUUGUAAAGUUGAACCUCAGAGCCCUCAGUCCUCCCGGGUGCUAACGCCUUACAUAACCAUGAUAAACUGAGAAGAAAAGUGUUACUGGUGUGCAAGUAAAUGGGCAGCAGACUUAAUUAUGAUUUCAGUGUUUCUACUAAAGUCCUCUUACCAAUCCAGUAUCCCACAGUGUAUCUAGUCAUGUUUCCUCAGUUUCCCCAAGGCUAGGAUGGUUUCUCAGCCUUUUCCUUGUUUCAACCCCUUGACGUAAUUAUUGAGACCAUCAAUGAGGAUUCUCUGGGAAUAAUUCCCGCCUCCCCCACCUUGUCCUUGGCUCUUGAGUCUAGUCCCUUAUCUCACAGAAAGUCCUAUGCCUUGGAUAUGCCCGAUUUCUACCUUGUGAUUGGGGGAACUGUUUGUGUUGGUUUAUUUGUGGUUUGGUUGGUUGGUUGGUUGUUGUUGUUGUUGUUGUUUUAACAGGUGUUUCUUUGCUUUUCUCAAUGUCACAGCAGGAGGAACAGGAUAUCCAAAUGACCUCCUUGGAAAACAAUGGUUAAGGAGCACUGGGACUCUGACAGGACCUGGGUUCUCUCCGACCCCUUUAUUCCCCAUGCCCACUGCCCCACAUGUGUGUACACAUGUGCUUCUGCUUGUGAGCACGCAGGAGUUCAUUGUAGAGGGCAUCUCCCUUACCUGUUGUCUCUCUUUGAUUUAAAAAAAAAAAAUCUAUUCUUACAAACCCCUAUAUAUACAUGUUGCCUGACUUAAAGUCAGGUCUGGGUUACUGCCAUCAGUCCCAAUGUUCACAGAAAUGGGAAACGAGAGGGGUGGACCAGUGGGGACAACCUGUAACUUGGACUUCUUAGAUCACUCCUGUCCCUCCCAAGACACCUAGGACUCAUCGGGUCUAAUUUAGUCUAGGAGGUGUGUUUCUAGAUGCAUCCCUGGAGUACAGUGAAUGCAAGCCAAGAAAUAAUUUUUUCUUCCCAAUUUCAUGGUCUCAUCCUGACCUACAGCAGAUAAGUAAGGAUGAUUCCAUUUCUGUAUUCUCUCGAGCCCAUCCCCCUCUCCCUGCCGUAGAGUCGGGAGUACCCUUUUUUUUUUUUCUUCUCAAGACAGGGUUUCUCUGUAUCACCCUGGCUGUCCUGGAACUCACUCUAAAGUACCCUCUUAAUUAACCAUGCUUAGAGAGGAAUAAAAGGACAAGACCAGAGUUUCAGCUACCUUGGAUUCUGCACCGACUCAGGAUCACAGUCAGUUUGUGUGAGGUCACCAGUUUAUACCAAACAGGUUUCAAGGGGCCACGGACAGAACUGUCUUGGUCAGAAUCAGCUGAGUCUUGCAGACAUGAUUCUACUCCAGACCGUUUUGUCUCUAGAAGAGAAACUUGCAAACAUUCUGCCUUCCUUUUCUUUUCUUUGGGAAAGUAAAUGCUGUGUUAGAAGUUUGGACCAGAAUUCUCGGACUUCACCAUCUAUGGAUGCUUCGCUUUUGAUGUGUUUGCCUGUUUAUAAUCUAUUUUAUUUAUUUUGGAAGAUUUUCAUUAAUAAAA